rnacentral:rRNA from 1 species
GAGUCUUAAUUGGGCGUUAAGUUGCAGGGUAUAGACCCGAAACCCGGUGAUCUAGCCAUGGGCAGGUUGAAGGUUGGGUAACACUAACUGGAGGACCGAACCGACUAAUGUUGAAAAAUUAGCGGAUGACCUGUGGCUGGGGGUGAAAGGCCAAUCAAACCGGGAGAUAGCUGGUUCUCCCCGAAAGCUAUUUAGGUAGCGCCUCGUGAAUUCAUCUCCGGGGGUAGAGCACUGUUUCGGCUAGGGGGCCAUCCCGGCUUACCAACCCGAUGCAAACUGCGAAUACCGGAGAAUGUUAUCACGGGAGACACACGGCGGGUGCUAACGUCCGUCGUGAAGAGGGAAACAACCCAGACCGCCAGCUAAGGUCCCAAAGUCAUGGUUAAGUGGGAAACGAUGUGGGAAGGCCCAGACAGCCAGGAUGUUGGCUUAGAAGCAGCCAUCAUUUAAAGAAAGCGUAAUAGCUCACUGGUCGAGUCGGCCUGCGCGGAAGAUGUAACGGGGCUAAACCAUGCACCGAAGCUGCGGCAGCGACACUCAGGUGUUGUUGGGUAGGGGAGCGUUCUGUAAGCCUGCGAAGGUGGCCUGUGAGGGUUGCUGGAGGUAUCAGAAGUGCGAAUGCUGACAUAAGUAACGAUAAAGCGGGUGAAAAGCCCGCUCGCCGGAAGACCAAGGGUUCCUGUCCAACGUUAAUCGGGGCAGGGUGAGUCGACCCCUAAGGCGAGGCCGAAAGGCGUAGUCGAUGGGAAACGGGUUAAUAUUCCCGUACUUGGUGUUACUGCGAAGGGGGGACGGAGAAGGCUAUGUUGGCCGGGCGACGGUUGUCCCGGUUUAAGCGUGUAGGUGUGUGUUCCAGGUAAAUCCGGUUCACUUUAACACUGAGGCGUGACGACGAGGCACUACGGUGCUGAAGCAACAAAUGCCCUGCUUCCAGGAAAAGCCUCUAAGCAUCAGGUAACAUCAAAUCGUACCCCAAACCGACACAGGUGGUCAGGUAGAGAAUACCAAGGCGCUUGAGAGAACUCGGGUGAAGGAACUAGGCAAAAUGGUGCCGUAACUUCGGGAGAAGGCACGCUGACACGUAGGUGAAGUGAUUUACUCAUGGAGCUGAAGUCAGUCGAAGAUACCAGCUGGCUGCAACUGUUUAUUAAAAACACAGCACUGUGCAAACACGAAAGUGGACGUAUACGGUGUGACGCCUGCCCGGUGCCGGAAGGUUAAUUGAUGGGGUCAGCGCAAGCGAAGCUCCUGAUCGAAGCCCCGGUAAACGGCGGCCGUAACUAUAACGGUCCUAAGGUAGCGAAAUUCCUUGUCGGGUAAGUUCCGACCUGCACGAAUGGCGUAAUGAUGGCCAGGCUGUCUCCACCCGAGACUCAGUGAAAUUGAACUCGCUGUGAAGAUGCAGUGUACCCGCGGCAAGACGGAAAGACCCCGUGAACCUUUACUAUAGCUUGACACUGAACAUUGAGCCUUGAUGUGUAGGAUAGGUGGGAGGCUUUGAAGUGUGGACGCCAGUCUGCAUGGAGCCGACCUUGAAAUACCACCCUUUAAUGUUUGAUGUUCUAACGUGGACCCGUAAUCCGGGUUGCGGACAGUGUCUGGUGGGUAGUUUGACUGGGGCGGUCUCCUCCUAAAGAGUAACGGAGGAGCACGAAGGUUGGCUAAUCCUGGUCGGACAUCAGGAGGUUAGUGCAAUGGCAUAAGCCAGCUUGACUGCGAGCGUGACGGCGCGAGCAGGUGCGAAAGCAGGUCAUAGUGAUCCGGUGGUUCUGAAUGGAAGGGCCAUCGCUCAACGGAUAAAAGGUACUCCGGGGAUAACAGGCUGAUACCGCCCAAGAGUUCAUAUCGACGGCGGUGUUUGGCACCUCGAUGUCGGCUCAUCACAUCCUGGGGCUGAAGUAGGUCCCAAGGGUAUGGCUGUUCGCCAUUUAAAGUGGUACGCGAGCUGGGUUUAGAACGUCGUGAGACAGUUCGGUCCCUAUCUGCCGUGGGCGCUGGAGAACUGAGGGGGGCUGCUCCUAGUACGAGAGGACCGGAGUGGACGCAUCACUGGUGUUCGGGUUGUCAUGCCAAUGGCACUGCCCGGUAGCUAAAUGCGGAAGAGAUAAGUGCUGAAAGCAUCUAAGCACGAAACUUGCCCCGAGAUGAGUUCUCCCUGAGACUUAGAGUCUCCUGAAGGAACGUUGAAGACGACGACGUUGAUAGGCCGGGUGUGUAAGCGCAGCGAUGCGUUGAGCUAACCGGUACUAAUGAACCGUGAGGCUUAACCUUACAACGCCGAAG